CCUAACGGGGUGCAGCAGUGGGGAAUAUUGGACAAUGGGCGAAAGCCUGAUCCAGCAAUGCCGCGUGUGUGAAGGAGGUCUUCGGAUUGUAAAGCACUUUCGACGGGGACGAUGAUGACGGUACCCGUAGAAGAAGCCCCGGCUAACUUCGUGCCAGUAGCCGCGGUAAUACGAAGGGGGCUAGCGUUGCUCGGAAUGACUGGGCGUAAAGGGCGCGUAGGCGGUUUAUGCAGUCAGAUGUGAAAUCCCCGGGCUUAGCCUGGGAACUGCAUUUGAGACGCAUAGACUAGAGGUCGAGAGAGGGUUGUGGAAUUCCCAGUGUAGAGGUGAAAUUCGUAGAUAUUGGGAAGAACACCGGUGGCGAAGGCGGCAACCUGGCUCGAUACUGACGCUGAGGCGCGAAAGCGUGGGGAGCAAACAGGAUUAGAUACCCCUGUAGUC
rnacentral:rRNA from 1 species